GGAAGGGAGUGGGAAGGUGAAGAUUGAGGAUCCUUUUAAGUAGUUUUUGCUCAGCUAGCAAAACAAGCUGGGACAUGCAAGACAGAUAAACACAGCUGUUUGGGGCUGUCACUUGGGGCUCAGGAGCCAAGGUGUCCUGCUGUAGUGAAAAGUGCACCGGAAUUAAAUAGCUAGGCUUCUAAGCCCUACCACAGAGAGUCAACAGACAAACUGCCCAGGGAAAAGUUAUGACCUCAGGCAAAGUGAAUUUCUACAGCUAAGGCAGAUCCUGAAGAAGCUCACAAAUAAAGGCUGCAUACUCACACAUUCCCUGAAGCUUGACAGUGCCAGCCACCAUACUGUGAGGGAGCUGAAGUAAGCCCACAUGAGGAAGAAUUGAGGUCCCAAGCCAACAGCUGCAGCUAAGAUCCAAGCUCUCAACCAGUACCAGUUCAUCCGUUAUAGAGAAAAUGUCAUGCCUGUGGGAUCUAGAAGACAUACUCCUUUGUUUUUAGUUCUGCUAGUACCCUAUGUGCCUUUACCAAAACCUUACUGAAUGGAUUUCAGAAAGUCUUUAAUUGUCAUCUCCUUCCCCUUUGUAUUCUACAAAGUUCCCAACAAUAUCAAUGAAUAAGAAGGAAGUCUUAAGGCUCCAGGAAUCCCCUCAGGGAGACUAGCUUUCAGAAUUUUAGGCACACUAAGAUAUGGAAGCUAAAAGAGGACUAAGAGGAUUCUGGGGAUAUUACAAGAUAUUGCAGACUAUCUUGUUUUCCUGGAAAAGGAUUUUACCUCAGUCGACUGAAUUACUUUUUUCACUGUGUCUUGCCACUCUUCGUGCAUGCAUCAAAGACCCUAAUAUGACUUCUGGUGGCCUGGGACUCCUUGGGAAAACAGAAAAGGGGCCACAAAUCCCAUUUUGGGAACAAUCUGUUUUACUCAUGGAACCCCUGGAAUUAGAGCACUUACAACAGUAUCUACCUUUAAGAAUAUAUUCAAAAAACUGUUACAUGGCUUCUGAGAAAACAACAAAUUAGCCAUUUAACCUGAAUAUUUUGAAGCUUAUGGAUGAAGAAUAUUUUCAUGAUGGAAACAACAUGAGGUAAAUUAGCAGCAGAGAUUCAUCUGGAAGUAUGAUAUAUUGUUUAAAAAAACUUUUUAAAGUCAUUUCUGUCCAAAUAUAAAACAUUAUGU
rnacentral:lncRNA from 1 species